CUGCGGAAGGAUCAUUACAAGUGAGGCUACCGAACGUUGGAAACAGCGGUUAGGAGCUUACACCCACCCGUGUUUACAUACUAUUGUUGCUUUGGCGGGCCGUGGCCUCCACUGCGGGCUCUGCUCGUGUGUGCCCGCCAGAGAACCAAACUCUGAAUGUUAGUGAUGUCUGAGUACUAUCUAAUAGUUAAAACUUUCAACAACGGAUCUCUUGGUUCUGGCAUCGAUGAAGAACGCAGCGAAAUGCGAUAAGUAAUGUGAAUUGCAGAAUUCAGUGAAUCAUCGAAUCUUUGAACGCACAUUGCGCCCUGUGGUAUUCCGCAGGGCAUGCCUGUUCGAGCGUCAUUUAACCACUCACGCCUAGCGUGGUAUUGGGGCACGCGGCCUCCGCGGCCCUCAAAAUGAGUGGCGGCGCCGGUGGGCUCUAAGCGUAGUACAUACUCCCGCUAUAGAGUUCCCCCGGUGGCUCGCCAGAACCCCCAAUUUUUCACAGGUUGACCUCGGAUCAGGUAGGGAUACCCGCUGAACU
rnacentral:sRNA from 1 species